AUGGGGGCCAGUUUGAGCUCACACCUGGGAAGCUCCCGGAUUUUGCGAAUCAACCUAGAGGCUCGCUGGCCUACUCUGUUGCUGGUCCCAAGAACGGUCAACUGGAAUACUGUGCAGAAAAGUUUCACCUCCCACCGCCCUGCCCUCAGGGAUGCAUCCCUGGUUCCAGCCAGUGACUUCCUUUGGCCGACAGAACACACAGCUUCAGCCAGGUUAGGGUUCAUCAGCAUCCGGCACAGCGUAAGCGAUGGCCUGUCGGGCGUCCACCUUGUGGUCCUCCUCGCCUGUCAAGGUCACCAAAACUGCCGACGGACACCUCAGUCGCCUCUCCCGAGGUGGCAGCCUGGCCCGGGAUAGAGGCAACGCAAGAGGCGUUUGUCAUGUACAGCGAGUGUUGGCUCCGAUGACCUAGCCCGUUGCUGUUGCUAUCGGAUGGGCAACAAAGCCAGACGGGGGUUUCACCUGUCCUGAAGGGCCACCUGAGAACAGAUCCUUCAAAACAUCACGCGACAGCUGAGACCUCGUGGGCCACAUCAGAGCACGUGCUCUUUGCACAGAUCCCCCCGGGCCAGUGAUUCUUCAGGCAGCAUCUCUCCGCACCGUAUUCUCCGCACAGAAUUCUCUGCACGGUGUUCGCAUUCUCGGCGGUAGCGAUGUCCUCCCGGGCGUUUCUUAACAGUUUUCAAGGUUUUCUCUCUGCUGCACCACACAAAUCCUCUUGGUGCAGAAACACGAGCCUGGCCCCGUGCUUCUUACAGCCACGGCAUCCCCACUAGCGGCAGGUGAAGCCAACUCUGGGGGUACGUUUUCAAGGCACUCCACUGCCUCAUCCCCCACGAUACAGGGCUGACUUCUGUACCCGGAACACCUUCCCAGGAACCUGUAACUGGCGAGGAAUCUGUAACUUAGCUCCACCAUUACGUCACUUUUGCAGAUCGUCCCUUAUCGCUGGGCAGAGUUCUCCUCUCUUUUAUCCCCCCUUUGCAUUUGGAAUGGUUUAUUAUUUGUUUUAAUACGAAAUGUAUUGUCAAAUUGUCAAAUUGGUUUCCAUACAACACCCAGGGCUCAUCCCAACAGGUGCCCUCCUCAAUGCCCGUCACCCACUCCCCCCCCCCUCCCCCCCCACCCCCCCCCCCCCAUCAACCCUCAGCUUGUUCUCAGUGUUUAAGAGUCUCUUAUGGUUUGGCUCCCUCCCUCUCUUUUGUUUCCCCCUUCCGGUCCCCCAUGGUCUUCUGUUAAGUUUCUCAGGAUCCACAUAAGAGUGAAAACAUACGAUAUCUGUCUUUCUCUGUAGGACUUAUUUCACUUAACACUCUCCAGUUCCAUCCACGUUGCUACAAAGGGCCAUAUUUCAUUCUUUCUCACUGCCAUGUAGUACUCCAUUGUGUAUAUAAACCACAAUUUCUUUAUCCAUUCAUCAGUUGAUGGACAUUUAGGCUCUUUCCACAAUUUGGCUAUUGUUGAGAGUGCUGCUAUAAACAUUGGGGUACGAGUGCCCCUAUGCAUCAGUACUCCUGUAUCCCUUGGGUGAAUUCCUAGCAGUGUUAUUGCUGGGUCACAGGGUAGAUCUAUUGUAAUUUUUUGAGGCACCUCCACACUGUUUUCCAGAGCGGCUGCACCAGUUUGCUUUCCCACCAACAGUGCAAGAGGUCUUCCCGUUUCCCCACACCCUCUCCAGUAUCUAUAGUCUCCUGAUUUGUUCAUUGUAUCCACUCUGACAGGCAUGAGGUGGCAUCUUAUUUUCGUUGCUACGGCCCAUAUCUGUUUUCCCCACCAGAGCUCUGCUUUACUCUCUACAUGUAGCCACAUGAUCUGCAUUGGGUGGCUAGUCUUCUAGGAACUUUAUCAUUCUUAUUAUGGAACGCUUUUGUUUAGUUAAUUAAUUAAUCUAUUUUAAUUUUUUAAUGUUUCCUUCUUUUUAGAGGAGAGAGACAGAGACAGAGACAGAGCGUGAGCAGGAGAGGGGCAGCCCCAGAAUCGGACGCAGGCUCCAGGCUCUGAGCUGUCAGCACAGAGCCCGACGCGGGGCUCGGGGCCCAGGAGCCGUGAGAUCGUGACCUGAGUCAAAGUCGAUGCUGAACCGGAUGAGCCACCCAGGCGCCCCUGGAAUGCUUUUGUUGAAGUUGAGGUUAAUGUACGUUCAGUAAUACGCAGAUACAUUACGUGUGCGGGUUGAUAAAUGUCAUGUGUGUUCACACCGACGCAACCACCAUACAGAUCCAGGGAGAGAAGAACAUCUCCGUUCUCCCAAAAGGUUCUUCAUUCUAGUCCCUAGAGGGUAAUGGACUCUUCCGACUCCUAUUUCGGUAAAUUGCAAUUUUGUUGUUCUUAAAUUGCACAUAAAUGGUAUCACACAGCACGUAUUUAUUUGUCUGGUGUCUUUGGCUCAGUAUACAGUUUUUAAAAUUCAUCUGCAUUAUUCCACGUAUCAAUAGCUCUUUUCGCUGCCGGGUAGUAUUCCAACGUAUGAAUAUAUAACAAAAUGUGUUUAUCCUGCUUUUGAUACAACUUUGGAUUGAUUUUACUUCUUAGCUAUCAGCAAUAAACUUUCUACAAUUUUUUUCUUGUACA
rnacentral:lncRNA from 1 species